AUUGAACGCUGGCGGCAGGCCUAACACAUGCAAGUCGAACGAGUGGCGGACGGGUGAGUAAUGUCUGGGCAACUGCCCGAUGGAGGGGGAUAACUACUGGAAACGGUAGCUAAUACCACAUACCAUCGGAUGUGCCCAGAUGGGAUUAGCUAGUAGGUGGGGUAACGGCUCACCUAGGCGACGAUCCCUAGCUGGUCUGAGCGGAUGACCGGACACCCUGGAACUGAGACACGGUCCAGACUCCGACGGUAGGCAGCAGUGGGGAAUAUUGCACAAUGGGCGCAAGCCUGAUGCAGCCAUGCCGCGUGUAUGAAGAAGGCCUUCGGGUUGUAAAGUACUUUCAGCGGGGAGGCGUUACUCGCAGAAUAAGCACCGGCUAACUCCGUGCCAGCAGCCGAGGUAAUUC
rnacentral:rRNA from 1 species